CCGAGUUAAGGACAAUACCACUCACGUUUUGUCCGUCGUUAUCUAAACGCUAUUUACGUAUAGAAACGCCGUUUAUUAACUGCAAACCCAGUUAACGGUAGUAAAUUAUGCACAUUCGCGCUAGCUCGUCUUUACCGCUGUUAAUUUGCUAAGAAGUAGAGCAGAGAGUUUGGAUCCGAGGACAUGCUCGCUGCUCCGCGCUUCCCUUCGCCGGUCCAGCAUGUGUGGAUAUCUGUGUCAAUGAAGACCGGGGAUGCUUGUCGUGCGACGGAAAAGAACUCCCUCCAGAGUUGCUUGUGACAAUUAAAUCCAUUCGUGGUUUGUAUCGACCAUUGAUUUAUUUCUGUUUUGUUCCUGUUUGUUCCUGUUUGGUUCCAGUUUGGUUCCUGAAUCAGACUAAACACGAAGUUGUAGUUGCAAACGGGCCAGGGGUAUUUAUCGUCAUAGAAUGGAUAUAUUAUACCCUGAAACAUCAAGAAUGAACAAAUGACAACUAGAUAUAUUUUCAGUGGAAGCGCAGUAACUCAAGCUCAUAUCAGUUGACACUCAGAAAAAAAUCCGUUAAUGCGGCCGAUACCGUAUAAAUCGUCCCGAUUAACAAUUUUCGGAUGAAAACCCAUUUGUAGGAAAGGAGUAACGUCAUGUUGUAUACAUGUAAGCUUUCGAACAGUGAAGCGAUCGGUGGCCUGUCCGAAUUAACAGGAUCCGGUAUAACGACGUUGCUAGAUACACGUAGUCCCGACAAUUUAUCCAUUUAUUAUUACUGCACAUGACACGGAGUCGGUUGAGUCGAUAUAUGGCUGUGACGAUGUGCUUCCUCAUCUCGACAUUUGUUCGCAGGAACUCCGUUAUUUCUGACGGUAACGUUGCCAGAUAUAUUAUCCGGAUUCAUACAUUUACGGAUUAUCGUAGAAUGGACGCAUUAAUUUCUUAUGGACAGUUAUGAAUGCUUGGAGUCCAAAUUAGCAGGGUUCAUUGUAGAAAAAUGAACCUCCUUUAAACGAAUUAUCCAUUGUCACUCUUUGUAAGCUUGAUUACUUAGUUGGGUUUUUUUUAUUAUUGAUUUAAAUAAGUUAUUUUGUUAUCGAAUCAUGAUAAUGAUAGUGAUAAUAAUAUAUAUACUCUGAAAAAAGAAACGCACAAGUGAUUUUAGGUGUAGAUUUAAUAUAUCAUAUUAUAAGUAAUCAACAGAUGGUAAUCGAUUGUUCACAAUUGGCACACAUCAUUGUGGGACACAUAUGGGACACACUGAACAGUAGAUUUUUAAGGUGAAGAACAUCUGUUCUCAACGUCUUGUAUGGCCAUCAUUAGAGUCCAAAACUAACCAGCAGCAUCGUCCCAUGGAAGCAGUCAGAUCCCGAAUUGUGGCCUGGGGAAUGUUUACCAUCUCAGCUCUCAGUGUUUGUGCCAACUGUCGGAGUUUCUGUUGUUUUUCCUUCUUUUCACCAGAUUUCUGCAGUACAUCAUUACUUCUACACAAAUCAAUUUCAAUCCAUGCAGAAAUGAUCAAUUCGUUUUUGGUAUUAUUUUGUAUGUAUGUCGACAACAACGUAGCCAUUUUACUACUUUUGCGUUUCUUUUUUUAAAGAGUAUUUUUUAUUUCAAUGCACUCAAGUUAACGAGCUGUCACCAUAUCUCACAGAUUAAAUGUGUAUCAAUGACAUCUUUAUAAAAAUCCUGAAAUACUCA